rnacentral:rRNA from 1 species
CUNUUNGGAGGCACAUGAGGNAAUUGCGCAAUGGAGGAAACUCUGACGCAGCCAUGCCGCGUGCAGGAUGAAUGCCCUAUGGGUUGUAAACUGCUUUUCUGCAAGAANAAACCUUAGUACGUGUACUAAGUUGACGGUACUGUANGAUAUAAGCACCGGCUAACUCCGUGCCAGCAGCCGCGGGUAAUAU